UACGUAGGGUGCGAGCGUUGUCCGGAAUUACUGGGCGUAAAGAGCUCGUAGGUGGUUUGUCGCGUUGUUCGUGAAAACUCACAGCUCAACUGUGGGCGUGCGGGCGAUACGGGCAGACUGGAGUACUGCAGGGGAAACUGGAAUUCCUGGUGUAGCGGUGGAAUGCGCAGAUAUCAGGAGGAACACCGGUGGCGAAGGCGGGUCUCUGGGCAGUAACUGACGCUGAGGAGCGAAAGCGUGGGGAGCGAACAGG
rnacentral:rRNA from 1 species